UAGGGAAUCUUCCACAAUGGACGCAAGUCUGAUGGAGCAACGCCGCGUGAGUGAAGAAGGUUUUCGGAUCGUAAAGCUCUGUUGUUGGUGAAGAAGGAUAGAGGCAGUAACUGGUCUUUAUUUGACGGUAAUCAACCAGAAAGUCACGGCUAACUACGUGCCAGCAGCCGCGGUAAUACGUAGGUGGCAAGCGUUGUCCGGAUUUAUUGGGCGUAAAGCGAGCGCAGGCGGAAUGAUAAGUCUGAUGUGAAAGCCCACGGCUCAACCGUAGAACUGCAUCGGAAACUGUCAUUCUUGAGUGCAGAAGAGGAGAGUGGAAUUCCAUGUGUAGCGGUGGAAUGCGUAGAUAUAUGGAAGAACACCAGUGGCGAAGGCGGCUCUCUGGUCUGCAACUGACGCUGAGGCUCGAAAGCAUGGGUAGCGAACAGG
rnacentral:rRNA from 1 species